GGAGGGCGCAAGCGUUGUUCGGAAUCACUGGGCGUAAAGCGCGUGUAGGCGGCUCGAAAAGUUGGUUGUGAAAUCCCGGGGCUCAACCCCGGAACUGCAACCAAAACUCUCGAGCUCGAGUCUCGGAGAGGGUGGCGGAAUUUCCGGUGUAGAGGUGAAAUUCGUAGAUAUCGGAAGGAACACCAGUGGCGAAGGCGGCCACCUGGACGAUGACUGACGCUGAGACGCGAAAGCGUGGGGAGCAAACAGGAUUAGAUACCCUGGUAGUCCACGCCGUAAACGUUGGGUGCUAGACGUCGGGGGUAUUGACCCCCCGUCGGUGUCGAAGUUAACGCAUUAAGCACCCCGCCUGGGGAGUACGGCCGCAAGACUA
rnacentral:rRNA from 1 species